UACGUUCCCGGGCCUUGUACACACCGCCCGUCACACCACGAAAGUGGGCAACACCCGAAGCCGGUGGCCCAACCCUUUGGGAGGGAGCCGUCGAAGGUGGGGCUUGCGAUUGGGGUG
rnacentral:rRNA from 1 species